GACGAACGCUGGCGGCGUGCUUAACACAUGCAAGUCGAACGGUGAAAGCGGAGCUUGCUCCGCUGGAUCAGUGGCGAACGGGUGAGUAACACGUGGGCAACCUGCCCCUCACUUCGGGAUAACUCCGGGAAACCGGGGCUAAUACCGGAUAUGACCUCCUUGGGCAUCCUUGGAGGUGGAAAGUUUUUCGGUGAGGGAUGGGCUCGCGGCCUCGCAGCGUGUUGGUGAGGUAGUGGCUCACCAAGGAGACGGCGGGUAGCCGGCCUGAGAGGGGGACCAGCCACACUGGGACUGAGACACGGACCAGACUCCUACGGGAGGCAGCAGUGGGGAAUAUUGCGCAAUGGGCGAAAGCCUGACGCAGCAACGCCGCGUGCGGGAUGACGGCCUUCGGGUUGUAAACCGCUUUCAGCAGGGAAGAAGCCGCAAGGUGACGGUACCUGCAGAAGAAGCACCGGCUAACUACGUGCCAGCCGCCGCCGUAA
rnacentral:rRNA from 1 species